rnacentral:snRNA from 1 species
AUCGCUUCUCGGCCUUUUGGCUAAGAUCAAGUGUAGUAUCAUGAGAGUCAAUUUUCCUGUCCUGACCUUCC